rnacentral:tRNA from 1 species
GGGGAUUUUGCUCAGUGGGACGGAGCCUGCCUUGUAAGCACUAGGUCCUGAGUUCAAUUCCCAGAACCCCCC